rnacentral:rRNA from 1 species
UACGUAGGCAGCGAGCGUUGUUCGGAAUUACUGGGCGUAAAGAGUGUGUAGGCGGUGUUCCAAGUCUGGUGUGAAAUCUCCCGGCUUAACUGGGAGGGUGCGCCGGAAACUGGAAUGCUCGAGGGUGGGAGAGGUAAGCGGAACUCCUGGUGUAGCGGUGAAAUGCGUAGAUAUCAGGAGGAACACCUGUGGUGUAGACAGCUUACUGGACCACUUCUGACGCUGAGACACGAAAGCGUGGGUAGCAAACAGG